GGUAGCAGCUUCUCCAUUUCUCUUUCUCUAUUCCGCCUCUUAAACUCUAUUCUAACAAUUUAUUUCGUUGCAGACCCAAGGCGUUUCUUAAACAACCUAUUCCGCCUCUUAAACUCCAUUUCGUUGAAGGCGUUGCAGACCCAAGGUGUUUCUAAGGUUAGUAGAGCUGGUAGGUUCGGCACGAAAGGGCUUGCCGUAACGUUUGUUUCUUCCAGAGCAGAUUGAUACUUCCACAUAGACGACACACCCACGACCCCGACACACACACGACCUUGGCACACCCUCAACAGGUGUGGAUAUAUUUUUUGUAAUUAAUAUCUUUUGUAUUUUUUGAAUAAUUUAUUUUGUAUUUGUUUAGUGUAUAAUAUUUGAGUUUUGAGUCCUUUAGUUAGUAUCAUUGGUAUGUAAAUCUUGACAUCUAUUGUUAAGAUAUAUGUGUUUGUUCUUACUUUAUUUUGUAAUCUUGGUAUGUAAAUAAUUAUAGGACUGUUUUGGUUAAAAACAAAAUUUAAGUGAUAAUUUAAAUUAAUUUAUAAAAUAUAAUAAUAGAUGAUUUAGUAUUAAGUAAAAUAUAGUGUUUUUGUUAAUAUUGAAUAAAGAGGAUUUAAACUUGAUCAAUCAGAUUAUUAGCACCCAU